rnacentral:rRNA from 1 species
GACGAACGCUGGCGGCGUGCUUAACACAUGCAAGUCGAACGGAAAGGCCCUGCUUUUGUGGGGUGCUCGAGUGGCGAACGGGUGAGUAACACGUGAGUAACCUGCCCUUGACUUUGGGAUAACUUCAGGAAACUGGGGCUAAUACCGGAUAGGAGCUCCUGCUGCAUGGUGGGGGUUGGAAAGUUUCGGCGGUUGGGGAUGGACUCGCGGCUUAUCAGCUUGUUGGUGGGGUAGUGGCUUACCAAGGCUUUGACGGGUAGCCGGCCUGAGAGGGUGACCGGCCACAUUGGGACUGAGGAACCGCCCAGACUCCUACGGGGGGCAACAGUGGGGAAUAUUGCACAAUGGGCGGAAGCCUGAUGCAGCAACGCCGGGGUCGGGAUGACGGCCUUCGGGUUGGAAACCGCUUUCGCCUGGGACGAAGCGGGAGGGACGGUAAUGGGUAAAGAAGCACCGGCUAACUACGUG